rnacentral:rRNA from 1 species
GAUGAACGCUAGCGGCAGGCUUAAUACAUGCAAGUCGAGGGGCAGCAGGUCUGUAGCAAUACAGAUGCUGGCGACCGGCAAACGGGUGCGGAACACGUACAGAACCUUCCUUCGAGCGGGGAAUAGCCCAGAGAAAUUUGGAUUAAUACCCCAUAGUAUAUUGAAAGGCAUCUUUUUAAUAUUAAAGAUUUAUCACUUGAAGAUGGCUGUGCGGCUGAUUAGGUAGUUGGCGGGGUAACGGCCCACCAAGCCAUCGAUCAGUAACUGGUGUGAGAGCACGACCAGUCACACGGGCACUGAGACACGGGCCCGACUCCUACGGGAGGCAGCAGUAAGGAAUAUUGGUCAAUGGACGCAAGUCUGAACCAGCCAUGCCGCGUGGAGGAUGAAGGUCCUCU